UUCCACUAACUAGAGAUUCUGUCCGUGUCCCUGACAGGCAUCACCCACUUCAACCCCCACCCCACAUCUACUACUACCUCCUGCCGCCUCCUUCGGCUACAAAUCACAAGUCUCAGAUGAGCUUUCUACUUCCAUGCUCUGGUGACUCUUCUCUUACUUCCCCAGGUCACGUGACAACUCUCCUAAUGAGGUGGAUGGCCUUCGCAUUAUUUCCUAAAAAACAAUGUCCAGCAACACAAAUACCUAAAUUCAGUCUUCCCAACUCCACCAGCAACAGCAACUGUUUUCUAUAAUAAAAACACAGCGAUGGGACCUGUCCCAUUACCUGCUGCUCAUGUA